CUGCCACGUGGCGACUCUGUCCGGGAUGGUCGAAGUCAGUACGAUGCCACCACUGGCUGCGGUUGCAUGCCGGGUAUGCGAUGGUUUACUAAAAAUAGCAUGGCAGCUAUUUUUGUUUAGGACAUUGCAGUGGUCUAGUAUGAUAAUUUUGUUUUUAAUUUUAGAUAAUCUAUAUCUAUCUAUCUCUAUUUCUAUCUCUUCUCUAUCCCUCUACUAUAUAUAUAUACUAAAUAGAGGCUAAGGGUCACAGUACUUUCGCUCAUCUACACCCUUGUUCUGUGGUCAACCGCACGCGCUGCUAGUGCACGUGGGGGGCUAGUGGGCCACACUCAAACACGUACUGUGCUCUUCCGGCUUCAAUUUUCACCUUCUCUUUUUCUAACUUUUAUGUGUUCUAAUUUUGUCUUCAACUUUUUUUUAUUUCUUUUGAAUCUUUUUAUCUUGCAAUUCUGUGCCAAAAUAUUUAUCUUCAAUUUCUCUAUCUCAAAAUCUUUUGCUUGGACUUUUUUUUGGCUCUCAAAUUUUUUCUCGUACAAAAUUUUUGCACCAUGACUUUUCUCUCCAAAAUUUAUUGAUCUCAAAAUUUUCUAAUCCAAACUUUUAUGUAUUCUAUUUUUUGCCUUCAACUUUUUUUGUUUCUUUUGAAUUUUUAAUCUUGAAAUUUGGUGUCAAAACAUGAAUGCAAAGGCACAUGCUGUGAAGAUGAAAGUGAAAGGGAUUGACCAGACGGAGGGGACAUGAAUGCAAAGGAAUCACGUGUGUCUGGAAAUCAAUCAUACGGGCGACCGUAAAUUAGCACCCCCUCACACCCCACACCCACACCAUGUACACCCCUGCGACCGUUACCCCUCGUCCCCUCCCUCCUCGCUUCGUCCGACCUCCAACAAAUGUGGAGCGCCCUUUUUAAUGUGUUGUGCAUCUACGGCUAGCGAUUCGAUCCCGGAGCGCUUGCCUCUUGACACCCUUGUGCAACCCCUCUCCCUCCCUCUCCUCUCUGUCCGCCGCCCCCCUCCUCUCUGUCCGCCGCCCUCGCCCUCCUCUCCAACCGCCCCAAACCACGACCCAACGGCACCCCCUCCUUCUAGGGCGCAAGCUGCGGACGGGACUCCUACGCCGCACGCUCGGCACCCCCUCCUCCACCCCCCCUGAUGGGGCACGAGCCAUGGGUGGCCUGCGGUGCCUUCUUACCGCGGCACCCUGUUCGCCGCCAGCAGGUCGGGUCGCGAGCUGACCGCCGCCUCCUCGUUGUCCGGCAAAUUCCGGCCACCACAGUGCACCUCCUCCAUGGGUAAAAGGGAAUGGAAUUCAAAGAAUUUGCACAUAUCUAAGAAGGUCUACGUUCUUAUCAAGUGACUUAUAUAUUUUCCGAGAGGCUACAUGAUGGUGCACGUUUGAGAGGGGACAUUCACAUCUUGCUUCUGGGUGAUCCAUUCACAGCAAAAUCACAGGCAAGUUUGUUUGAUAUUGUCAUAGAAUAUACUUUGAUGGCGAAAAUAAAGUGACAAUAAAACUCACAUCUGCAUUACACCUAUGGUUUGGCAUCAUAUGAAAUGGUACUGUGAUUCAGUUUAGUAAUUUGACACUAAUGCCUGUGAUUCUUUUGUCGCUAUUUUAAACCAAAUGUCCGUAUGUAGUUUCGUGAUAUUGAAUGUCUAUUUCUCGAACAGUUCCUCAAAUUUGUAGAGAAGACAGCUUCUAUUGUAGUCUAUUCAUCUGGAAAAGGUUCCUCUCCUUCUGUUCUCACUGCAUCUGUAACGUGGCAUAGUAGCUCGGUAGAUUUCAGUGUCCCAUACCGAGAUCUGGUCUAUUUCUCAAUGCAAAAUUUAUGCUACAAAUACAAAGUACUACUACCCGAGCAGGAAUAGACCCCCUUGACAUCGCCAUCAUUGUCGCGAAGCUGAAGGCUGAUCGAUCUGGAGUGAUUUGAUUCCACUUAGGACUAUCAAGUCGUCUUUGGGCUGCUCAGCUGCGUCUGGGAGCAGCAUGUCGAUGAGGUCAGAAGGAGAUUCUGCUUUGCAGUAUUUCAGCUCGUGUCAGUGCUUAUGCUUAUUGUUGUUUUCAAUUUUUGAUUGUGGUGACGACACAGCUGCUAGUGGGGUUUGAGUGGAAUGUGGAGUGCUUUUUUUUUUGCAGCAAAGAGAGGGAAUGUUGUGGUGAGCGCUGCUCCAAGAGCCUGAUCGAGUUGAACACAUAGUAUUGAGCUUUAUGUUGAGUUGCAAGCACUGAAGGUCCCAGCUGAACUUGAUAAACAUAUGGUCCAUUGUGGAGGGAUCUUGUUUUGCAGUAAGAUAACUUCUAUAUUGUGCUAUUUUUCUAAUGCUCUGUGAACAAAUGCUCGUUGAACAGAGAGAUAAGAUGGGUGAUGGACUGAUGGAUGCUUGUUUCAGAUCUCUGCUUGUGUUUGUAAUGGCUUCUUCACCUAGCUGUUUGCAUGUUCCAGUGGCCAUUACAAAGAGUUAUGCUGAGUGUCAUUCUUGGUUUUUGGAGUUGAGUUGACAGAAGCCAUGGGUCAAAAUUUCAAGCUCCCGUGGCAAUGCAGAAUUACUGAAAAGUCAAACCAAAUGUGUGAACAAAGAGCAAAUCAACAAAGAACAGUGAAGAUAAAGCUCCUCGUCGUGAAGAUCGAGCUGGAGCAUCAUGUGCGUGGUCGCCUCCUCAGCCACCGACAAGUCUAUCUAGAGAAGGCAAAACGGAGAUUGAAUCGUUACACCUCCGAUAUGGGGAAUUUUCAGUGUUAACGACUUUGUACAACGCUGCUAUUGGAUCCGGCAGUAUCUUAUUACAGAGAGAUCAAACCAAACAAUAACAAUGUAAUUCAUUUGCAGUGUGAUCGGAUCACACCCAAAAACGGGUGAACCAAACACCACAUGUAGAGCGUUUUGUUUCCCAUGCCAACCAACCAACCUUGACUAACGAGGAUUAAGGAGUAUGUACGCGGCUAUUUUAUCUC